UAGGCGGGCGCUAAGUCAGCGUGAAGGCAGCGCUCAACCGUGAAUUGCCGUGAAACUGGCGCUUGGAUUCGGUCGAGGCCGGCGGAAUGCGUGGUGUAGCGGUGAAAUGCUUAGAUAUCAUGCGGAACGCCGAUUGCGAAGGCAGCUGGCCAGACCGAGAUCGACGCUGAGGCACGAAAGCGUGGGGAUCAAACAGGAUUAGAUACCCUGGUAGUCCACGCCGUAAACGAUGAUCACUGGAUGCCGGCGAUACACCGUCGGUGUCUGAGCGAAAGCAUUAAGUGAUCCACCUGGGGAGUACGAUCGCAAGGUUGAAACUCAAAGGAAUUGACGGGGGCCCGCACAAGCGGAGGAACAUGUGGUUUAAUUCGAUGAUACGCGAGGAACCUUACCUGGGCUAGAACGCCGAGCGCAUAUGGGGGAAACCCCAUAGCCAGCAAUGGCGGUCGGCGAGGUGCUGCAUGGUUGUCGUCAGCUCGUGCCGUGAGGUGUCGGGUUAAGUCCCAUAACGAGCGCAACCCCUACUGUUAGUUGCCAGCGGAUCAUGCCGGGGACUCUAACGGAACUGCCAGCGUAAGCUGUGAGGAAGGUGGGGAUGACGUCAAAUCAGCACGGCCCUUACGUCCGGGGCGACACACGUGUUACAAUGGGUGGUACAAAGGGCAGCUACCUGGCGACAGGAUGCUAAUCUCCAAAACCACUCUCAGUUCGGAUCGGAGUCUGCAACUCGACUCCGUGAAGCUGGAUUCGCUAGUAAUCGCGCAUCAGCCACGGCGCGGUGAAUACGUUCCCGGGCCUUGUACACACCGCCCGU
rnacentral:rRNA from 1 species